rnacentral:rRNA from 1 species
UACGUAGGGUGCAAGCGUUAAUCGGAAUUACUGGGCGUAAAGCGUGCGCAGGCGGUUUUGUAAGUCGGAUGUGAAAGCUCGGAGCUCAACUCCGAAAUGGCAUUGGAAACUACCUUGCUCGAGGGUUGGAGGGGGGACUGGAAUGCUUGGUGUAGCAGUGAAAUGCGUAGAUAUCAAGCGGAACACCAGUGGCGAAGGCGAGUCCCUGGACAACUCCUGACACUGAGGCACGAAAGCUAGGGGAGCAAACAGG